rnacentral:lncRNA from 1 species
AUUUCCUUUAUAGUGUAAGCCAAUUCUACAGACAUUUAAGACAUGAUUUCUCCGGUUCCACUCUAGAUCAGUGUUCUUUUGCAAAGUUAAGAAAAUCCAUUCACACUUGCCUGAGUAAUUGGCUCUCUGCCCAAAAUUCCUCUCUGCCAAAAGAACACCUAGGGAGAGAGCGAAUCUCUCUUGGAAGAGCUUCAAUUCUGUGGUUUAAGACUUAAGCCUUCAUAACAUAGAAAUCAAUGCAGAAGAAUACAGAACUUUUGUUGAUAUCAAUAUUUAAAUUAGUAUAAAAUCAUGAGUGAUUUUUUUUUUAAAUAGAAGACUUUACAGGACUACCAAGUACAUAUGUGAGAAGGCCACAUCACACAAGUCAUUCCUUGUAGAGGACAGUGUGAUUGGCACCAGCCUCAAUGAGGUGGUGGCCGAGCUAGAAAAUGAGGUUGCUGACACCAACCCUCAUUGCUGGGAGUGCCUUUACCAGCCUUCACACUAAACCAGUUAAUCCUGAGCAAUCUCUUAUCUGGACUCUCAUCUGUAAAACCAACUGUUUGAUUCCAAGUUCUCACCACAGAUUAGCUUGAAAAGUUUGAGCUGUGAAAUUUGUCUUGUUGAUAUAUUGAAAAGAACUUUGGUUCUGCCCAUUGCUCCUUGAAAGACUCCAGUAGUUCAGAAAUUUGGAAUGUAUACCAGUGAACCUUUAAUAUCCCUCCUACUUCUGACAUUACUUUCAUUUAAUGGUCAAUUCUUUAAUUGGGCCCAGAAAUAUUUCCCUUGUAUCCAGCUGGUAUUGAUGGCCUUAAAAUAGCAUGUUGUCCAGUAACAAAAUGUCAUGCCAUGUAUCUGAAAGGCUUAAUUUAACGAGUAUUUUUCAGUGGAAAGAGUAAAGAAAUGAUUGAGAACUGCAUCAUACACUGUCUUUUGGAUAUCGUUUGAAAACAAGAAACUUUUCAGCAGCCUAAAAGGAAAGUUAUGGACCCAAAACCGAUGAAGCUGAAACAUCCCAGGACACCACAGCAAUCACACGGGAUGGCCAGGAUGUCUUCAGUUACCCAGAGAAACAUCUGUCAGACACCGCGUGACCUUCUAGCUGGAGAAACUAUGGUCAGUGUUCCCAGAUGAAACCUUAAUCAUGUACAACACCUAGGAAAGAUGUCGGCAAAGAAACAGUUCUAAUCUAAAUCAGGUCUCGGCCCAAGGAGGAAGAAGGCUCUUUAAAGGACAUUUCUCUUUCCGACAUCAUUGGGCCACAGUCUGUGGCAACCAAGUGUGCUGUGUGGCUCAUUCUGGAGACACACAGCUCUGUGUCAGAGGAAUGUGCACAAUGUAUGGCCUUCAAAUGUCACUGUGCUCCAUGGGGUCGUUCUGGCUCUGAGACCUAACAAAUGAUUAUAAAUGUAUUAUAAUCUUUGUGUCUUCACUUAACUGUAACUGGCAAAGCAUGCUAUUUUGUUCCUCAGACCUAUUACUAAGGCCUGUUAUUAACAAAUUUGGCCUUUAAAUUUCCUCCACAAUUUAUAUCAAAAUAGCAAUGGUCACCUGCAAU